AUUGAACGCUGGCGGCAUGCCUUACACAUGCAAGUCGAACGGCAGCGGGCCCUUCGGGGUGCCGGCGAGUGGCGAACGGGUGAGUAAUGCAUCGGAACGUACCCGGGAGAGGGGGAUAACCGGCCGAAAGGCUGGCUAAUACCGCAUGAACUCGGAAGAGCAAAGCGGGGGACCUUCGGGCCUCGCGCUCUCGGAGCGGCCGAUGUCCGAUUAGGCUAGUUGGUGGGGUAAAGGCCCACCAAGGCGACGAUCGGUAGCGGGUGUGAGAGGACGAUCCGCCACACUGGGACUGAGACACGGCCCAGACUCCUACGGGAGGCAGCAGUGGGGAAUCUUGGACAAUGGGCGCAAGCCUGAUCCAGCAAUGCCGCGUGGGUGAAGAAGGCCUUCGGGUUGUAAAGCCCUUUCGGCGGGGAAGAAAUCGGUCAGGCGAAUAGUCUGGCCGGAUGACGGUACCCGCAGAAGAAGCACCGGCUAACUACGUG
rnacentral:rRNA from 1 species